rnacentral:sRNA from 1 species
AAAGUAUUUUAGACAAGAAAAUAACCAAUUUAACCCCAAUAUUUUAUAAGACAUUGUAGUAAUUAAUCUCGUUAUUUUGGGU